GACGAACGCUGGCGGCGUGCUUAACACAUGCAAGUCGAACGGAAAGGCCCUGCUUUUGUGGGGUGCUCGAGUGGCGAACGGGUGAGUAACACGUGAGUAACCUGCCCUUGACUUUGGGAUAACUUCAGGAAACUGGGGCUAAUACCGGAUAGGAGCUCCUGCUGCAUGGUGGGGGUUGGAAAGUUUCGGCGGUUGGGGAUGGACUCGCGGCUUAUCAGCUUGUUGGUGGGGUAGUGGCUUACCAAGGCUUUGACGGGUAGCCGGCCUGAGAGGGUGACCGGCCACAUUGGGACUGAGAUACGGCCCAGACUCCUACGGGGGGCAGCAGUGGGGAAUAUUGCACAAUGGGCGGAAGCCUGAUGCAGCAACGCCGCGUGCGGGAUGACGGCCUUCAGGUUGUAAACCGCUUUCGCCUGUGACGAAGCGUGAGUGACGGUAAUGGGUAAAGAAGCACCGGCUAACUACGUG
rnacentral:rRNA from 1 species